GACGAACGCUGGCGGCGUGCCUAAUACAUGCAAGUAGAACGCUGGAGCAGUAGCUUGCUUCUCUGGAUGAGUUGCGAACGGGUGAGGAACGCGUAUGCAACCGGCCUUAUAUCGGGGGAGAACUAUUGGAAACGAUAGCUAAUACCACAUAACAGUAGAUAUCGCAUGAUAUCUACGUGAAAUUUGCAAUUGCAUCACUACCAUAUGCACCUGCGUUGUAUUAGCUAGUUCGGGAGGUAACGGCUCACCAAGGCGACGAUACAGAGCCGACCUGAGAAGGUGAUCGGCCAAACUGGGAAUUGGGACACGCCCAGACCCCUACGGGAAGCAGCCAUAGGGAAUUUUCGGAAAUGGACGGAAGUCUGGACGCGCAAAGCCGCGUGAGUGAAGAAGGUCUUCGGGUUGUAAAACUCUGUUGUAAGAGAAGAAAGAGUGUGAGAGUGGAAAGUUCACACUGUGACGGUACCUUAACAGAAAGGGACGGCUAACUACGUG
rnacentral:rRNA from 1 species